rnacentral:rRNA from 1 species
GAUGAACGCUGGCGGCGUGCCUAAUACAUGCAAGUCGAGCGAACAGACGAGGAGCUUGAUCCUCUGACGUUAGCGGCGGACGGGUGAGUAACACGUGGAUAACCCCCCUAUAAGACUGGGAUAACUUCGGGACACCGGAGAUAAUACCGGAUAAUAUAUUGAACCACAUGGUUCAAUAGUGAAAUACGGUUUUGCUGUCACUUAUAGAUGGAUCCGCGCCGGAUUAGCUAGUUGGUAGGGUAACGGCUUACCAAGGCAACGAUGCGUAGCCGACCUGAGAGGGUGAUCGGCCACACUGGAACUGAGACACGGUCCAGACUCCUACGGGAGGCAGCAGUAGGGAAUCUUCCGCAAUGGGCGAAAGCCUGACGGAGCAACGCCGCGUGAGUGAUGAAGGUCUUCGGAUCGUAAAGCUCUGUUAUUAGGGAAGAACAAAUGUGUAAGUAACUAUGCACGUCUUGACGGUACCUAAUCAGAAAGCCACGGCUAACUACGUG